rnacentral:rRNA from 1 species
GAUGAACGCUGGCGGCGUGCCUAAUACAUGCAAGUCGAGCGAACAGACGAGGAGCUUGCUCCUCUGACGUUAGCGGCGGACGGGUGAGUAACACGUGGAUGACCUACCUAUAAGACUGGGAUAACUUCGGGAAACCGGAGCUCAUACCGGAUAAUAUAUUGAACCGCAUGGUUCAAUAGUGAAAGACGGUUUUGCUGUCACUUAUAGAUGGAUCCGCGCCGCAUUAGCUAGUUGGUAAGGUAACGGCUUACCAAGGCGACGAUGCAUAGCCGACCUGAGAGGGUGAGCGGCCACGCAGGAACUGAGACACGGUCCAGACUCCUACGGGAGGCAGCAGUAGGGAAUCUUCCGCAAUGGGCGAAAGCCUGACGGAGCAACGCCGCAUGAGUGAUGAAGGUCUUCGGAUCGUAAAACGCUGUUAUUAGGGAAGAACAAAUGUGUAAGUAACUAUGCACGUCUUGACGGUACCUAAUCAGAAAGCCACGGCUAAGUACGUG